rnacentral:rRNA from 1 species
UACGUAGGGUGCAAACGUUGCUCGGAAUUAUUGGGCGUAAAGCGCACGUAGGCGGCUUGUUAAGUCGGAUGUGAAAGCCCCAGGCUCAACCUGGGAAGUGCAUUCGAAACUGGCUAGCUUGAAUAUGGAAGAGGGUCGCGGAAUUCCCGGUGUAGAGGUAGAAAUUCGUAGAUAUCGGGAGGAACACCAGUGGCGGAAGGCGGCGACCUGGGCCAAUAUUGACGCUGAGGUGCGAAAGCGUGGGAGCAACAGG